GAAGAACGCUGGCGGCGUGCCUAAGGUAUGCAAGUCGAACGCGCUCGACUUCGGUUGAGUGGCGUGGCGAACGGGUGAGUAACGCGUGGGAAUCUGCCUCCAAGAUGGGGAUAACCCCGAGAAAUCGGGGACAAUACCCAAGGCCCCGAAAGGGUAAAGAUUUAUCGCUUGGAGAUGAGCCCGCGUCCCAUCAGCUAGUUGGUAGGGUAAUGGCCUACCAAGGCUAUGACGGGUAGGGGGCGUGAGAGCGUGUUCCCCCACAAUGGCACUGAGACAAGGGCCAUACACCUACGGGUGGCAGCAAUCGGGAAUUUUGCGCAAUGCCCGAAAGGGUGACGCAGCGACGCCGCGUGGAUGAUGAAGGUCGAAAGAUUGUAAAAUCCUUAAUUCGCCGAGAGGCGGAGGAUUAAGCCCCGGCUAACUACGUGCCAGCAGCAGCGGUAAAACGUAGGGGGCGAGCGUUAUCCGGAUUUAUUGGGCGUAAAGCGUGCGUAGGUGUUUUAGAAAGUCCUGGCUUAAAGCCCGCGGCUCAACUGCGGAAGGCGUCGGGAUACUUCUAGAAUUGAGGAAGGUAGGGGGUGGCGGAACCUUACAAGGAGGGGUGAAAUCCAAUGAUCUGUAAGGGAACACCGAAGGCGAAGGCAGCCACCUAGGCCUUUUCUGACACUAAGGCACGAAAGCUAGGGUAGCAAAGCGGAUUAGAUACCCGUGUAGUCCUAGCCGUAAACGAUGAGCACUAGCUAUUCCCUUUUGGGAGUGGCGUAAGCUAACGCGUUAAGUGCUCCGCCUGGGGAGACGGCCGCAAGGCU
rnacentral:rRNA from 1 species